CAAAAACAUCGCCUCCUGUUGGUGUGAAAUAUUGGAGGUCGUACCUGCCCAAUGGUUUUAUAAGAUAAAAUUAAAUGGUUGCAGCUAAAUGCUGUACUAAGGUAGCGUAAUAAGUUGCCUCUUAAUUGGGGGCUAGAAUGAAGGGUUUGACGUAAAGAAACUUGUCUCCAAAACAAAAAUGUGAAGUUUUCUUCUUAGUGAAAAGUCUGAGAUAGUGAUAAAAGACGAGAAGACCCUGUCGAGCUUGAUAAAGCGUACAGUAUGUUGUAUUAAUAAGUUUAGCUGGGGCAGUUCGGAACAAUAAAAAGUUCUGUUUUUGUUAUGAGGAUCCGACUAGUGUCGAAAAAAGAAAAAGCUACCGCAGGGAUAACAGCGCUAUUUUCCCUGAGAGGACUUAUUGAAGGGAAAGAUUGCGACCUCGAUGUUGGAUUAAGGUGACUUUCUGGUGCAGCCGCUGGAGUAGUGAGACUGUUCGUCUUUUGAUACCUUA
rnacentral:rRNA from 1 species